AUGCUACUCACCUUGUUUCCCUAAGAAGGGACGUUAGUUCCAGCCAAAGUGCUUAUCAUAGAUCCUCAGCACAAACAGUUUCCAAGUUACCAAUGCUCUGCUUCCUGGGAGUUUAUUUAUUUCCUGCCACAAUGCUUACAUCAUAAAGACUAUAACUCAUUGUACUGGUUUAUUUUUUUUCUGCAUAACAAAUGACCACAGACUUAGCAACUUAAAACAACACACAUUUAUUAUCUCACAGUUUCUGCGGGGCAGGAGUCUGAAGAUGGCCUAGCUGAGUCCUCUGCUCAGAGUCUCACAAGGGUGCUAUCAAGAUGUUGGCUGGCUGCAUUUCUUUCUGGGUCUU
rnacentral:lncRNA from 1 species